GUUUGUCCUAGAGAAAUAAACUUUUUAUGAGAUAUUUGGGAAAGAUUUCCCAAACUAUUUCUAUGUUUAUAGGUAGGAUUAUCAUUGCUUUAUUUUUAAAAUUCAUUACUAUCAGGGUGACUUAAUAUCUGUAUAGUAUACUGAUAGUCAUGCUUAUGGAAUUUUAUUUGUAUAACUAUUAUUUGAGUAUUUUUUAAAAAAUGAAAGCAUUUAGGGAAUCUCAAUAUUUUUCUCUGUUUUCUUAGAGAGGAUCCUAUAAUUCUUAUCCAGUAUUGUAUAGGUAUCAAUUGCACAUAGCUUCUAAUUAGAGGUAGGACUCCAUUUCUGUUUCUCCUGUUUACCUCUGAGUCUUUUGUUCAGUUUGAACUCAGAAAUCUUGUGUAUGCUUGAAUAAUCGCUGUGAGUGGAAAUGUUUCUAGGUCCUGUUGUACAUGGAAGAGUCUUGUUCUUGAGAGUCAUCUAUCAUCUCUUGCUCCUAAAGUCUUUCUAAUUCCCCUCCCCAUAGAUUUGUGAUGCUUCAGGGGAAAGGUUCGAUGAAGAAAUCUUACUCAGGACAAGUGCUCCAAAGUCUCUCACUGUCUACAAUAUCCAGUUGCAGUUCUCCAAGCUAGUUCCCAUCUACUAGAGGAAGAAGCUCCUCUGAUGAGCAUGCAGAGUACCUUCCAACUCCAUGAAUAUUACAUGUGAAGCUUCAAGUUUGGUAUCUGCACAAUUUCUCCAUGGUUGAUGACAGAAGUAAGUGAUACCAUUCUAUAGCACUAGGGCUUUAUCUUAAGGUUGUAGAGAGUAACUAAUCGCCUUGUCAAUAUCUUGUUUGGAAUCGUCUAUGGGACGCAAUUGACUAAAACUCAACCAAACAGUCCAUUCCUAACACUGGACAGAUUAUUUUUUGGCAUAGUAAAUCCAGUUAAGUUAAUGAAUCCUCUAGUCUGUGAUGCCUAUGUUUAAAUUCCUUUCAUAUGUAUGAAAUGUCUACAAGUUUUUUGAAAUAUUCGUACAUAAGUAUUGUAUUUAGAUAAUGUCCAUUCUCCCUUUUACACAACUGCCUCCUCACAUGUAUGUUUAAUUAUCUGUCAAAUCAUGAAUUUUUCUAUUAAUUAUUAUUGGUGAGCACUAUUAUUAUUUAUUUCUAAAUAAUGAUUCCUCUCCUAUCAUUUCCACCCAUACAA
rnacentral:sRNA from 1 species